UACGGGAGGCGACAGUGGGGAAUCUUGCGCAAUGGGGGCAACCCUGUACGCAGCGCCGCCGCGUGUCGUGCUGCAGGUCUUCGGUCUCGUCAAGCUCUUUCGUCUGGGUCCGUCCCGGCCCUGUGGCUUCAUCCCCAUGGGGUCUUGACGGUACCGGAAGCAGCAGCACCGGCUCACUCUGUGCCAGCAGCCGCGGUAAA
rnacentral:rRNA from 1 species